rnacentral:rRNA from 1 species
AACGAACGCUGGCGGCAUGCCUAACACAUGCAAGUCGAACGAGACCUUCGGGUCUAGUGGCGCACGGGUGCGUAACGCGUGGGAACCUGCCCUUAGGUUCGGAAUAACUCCCCGAAAGGGGUGCUAAUACCGGAUAAUGUCUUCGGACCAAAGAUUUAUCGCCUUUGGAUGGGCCCGCGUUGGAUUAGCUAGUUGGUAGGGUAAAAGCCUACCAAGGCGACGAUCCAUAGCUGGUCUGAGAGGAUGAUCAGCCACACUGGGACUGAGACACGGCCCAGACUCCUACGGGAGGCAGCAGUGGGGAAUAUUGGACAAUGGGCGAAGGCAUGAUCCAGCAAUGCCGCGUGAGUGAUGAAGGCCUUAGGGUUGUAAAGCUCUUUUACCCAGGAUGAUAAUGACAGUACCGGGAGAAUAAGCUCCGGCUAACUCCGUG